AACGAACGCUGGCGGCGUGGCUAAGGCAUGCAAGUCGAACGGAUCUAUCCAACGGGUAACUGAAGGGUAGAUUAGUGGCGAACGGGUGAGGAAUACAUGGACAACGUACCCUGGACACGGGAGUAGCGGCGGGCCGGCAAGGCGUCUUUAGUCGAAAGUAGCCGGUAAUACCCGACUGAUCCCGCCAUGGUCGCAUGAUCGUGUGGGCGAAAG
rnacentral:rRNA from 1 species